rnacentral:rRNA from 1 species
GAUGAACGCUAGCUACAGGCUUAACACAUGCAAGUCGAGGGGAAACGGCAUUAAGUGCUUGCACUUUUUGGACGUCGACCGGCGCACGGGUGAGUAACGCGUAUCCAACCUUCCCAUGACUAAGGGAUAACCUGCCGAAAGGCAGACUAAUACCUUAUGGUCUUCACUGACGGCAUCAGAUGUGAAGUAAAGAUUUAUCGGUUAUGGAUGGGGAUGCGUCUGAUUAGCUUGUUGGCGGGGUAACGGCCCACCAAGGCAACGAUCAGUAGGGGUUCUGAGAGGAAGGUCCCCCACAUUGGAACUGAGACACGGUCCAAACUCCUACGGGAGGCAGCAGUGAGGAAUAUUGGUCAAUGGGCGAGAGCCUGAACCAGCCAAGUAGCGUGCAGGAUGACGGCCCUAUGGGUUGUAAACUGCUUUUGUAUGGGGAUAAAGUCAGUCACGUGUGAUUGUUUGCAGGUACCAUACGAAUAAGGACCGGCUAAUUCCGUGCCAGCAGCCGCGGUAAUACGGAAGGUCCGGGCGUUAUCCGGAUUUAUUGGGUUUAAAGGGAGCGUAGGCUGGAGAUUAAGUGUGUUGUGAAAUGUAGACGCUCAACGUCUGACUUGCAGCGCAUACUGGUUUCCUUGAGUACGCACAACGUUGGCGGAAUUCGUCGUGUAGCGGUGAAAUGCUUAGAUAUGACGAAGAACUCCGAUUGCGAAGGCAGCUGACGGGAGCGCAACUGACGCUGAAGCUCGAAGGUGCGGGUAUCGAACAGG